GCAUGCAACCAUAGACUGAGAACAGAGCCAGCGGCAUGCCCGCUCCACUAUCAUCAAGCUUCAGAUCGAUGGAUUAGUAGAUUGGUGGGUAACCACCGGCGAAUACCCAUUGUUGUACUGC
rnacentral:rRNA from 1 species